rnacentral:rRNA from 1 species
UACGGAGGAUCCAAGCGUUAUCCGGAAUCAUUGGGUUUUAAAGGGUCCGUAGGCGGCCCUGUAAGUCAGUGGUGAAAUCUCCCCGCUCAACGGGGAAACUGCCAUUGAUACUGCAGGGCUUGAAUUAUUGGGAAGUAACUAGAAUAUGUAGUGUAGCGGUGAAAUGCUUAGAGAUUACAUGGAAUACCGAUUGCGAAGGCAGGUUACUACCAAUGGAUUGACGCUGAUGGACGAAAGCGUGGGGAGCGAACAGG